AGAGCUGUGAGAGAGGCUUGCCCAGCCGCUGCCUGCCCUUUAGCUGGGCCCAAACCUCUUUUAUGCAUCCUUUACUGUCACACAGCAAAGCCACCGUUCAAAAAGGAAAGCUUGAAGGAAGAUAUUUACUGCAUGUCGGUCCACUGAGCGCGUUUUCCCCUCUCUAACCAGGAUGCAAGUUACUACAUUUAAAAUCCAACAGCAGCCUGUGCAACAGAGCUCAGCACCUGGGCGGAAGCGUCUUCCUACGAAUUAGACGCACAAUAAAAAUAAGUGCAACCCAGCGAUCUUAUUGUAAACAGGAACGUUCUAUGGAUCCCCGUCUUCCUGCCUCCAACAGCCGGUGUCAGCUGUCACACGUGCCCUGAGCAGAGCUCUGUGCAUGCAGACCCAUCUGCUGUAACAUUUCAGCAGGGUGCACAUUUCCCCAAGGGCCAGGGUAACGAAGAAGAAGGCUGACAAACUGCAACUGGAAUGAAUCGAUUAUUAACCAUUUCUUCCUGAAGGCACAAUUCCUACAGCCCUGGCUAUGCUGCAGCCGUCGCGCUAUAACAACUGGAGAACACUUGCUGCUGCCUUAAGCUUGAGAAUUUUCGGUGAGACUAACAUGGCUGCUACUCUGAAACCUGUCUUUGGUAGCUAUACGUUUAGACAACUUCCCUUUGGGAUUUCCGUAGCACCUUGGGUGUGCCAAAGCAUCCCUGGCCCAGAUCUUCAAGAAUCUAGAUAAGAGCAAAGAGCCAGAUGUUCCAGAGCCAGAGGACAUUGGAAAGCACCAUGGACUCAGAACUGUCCCAGGCAUCGUGAAGUUCCAGGUCACUAGAGGCUCCGGUAUUUGUUUUUCACAGUGUUCCUUUGUAUGAUCUUUCAUGCAUUUCUGCACUCACUCUAUGCCAGGCUCUCUGGCAAUGGAAAAAUCGAAGUGGGUCUAAAUUCCACGCUACAAGUGGGCCUGCUUUGUUUGUUCAGGUGUAAAUAAAUCCAGCACACGUGAUAAAUCCAGUCAAUGAAGCUCGGCACUGAGAUGUUUCGAGCACGCCCAAAUUAAAGGAGCAACAGAGCCUCUACCAGCAAAAAUGCUGCCUUCCAUGUCCCUGCUUUUAUUUGCUUCUUAGUUCAAAGGUGUUCAGUAAUUAUCAGCAAAUUUAACUGAUGGUGCAUCUCAGCAACCCCUUUUGAUCUUUCAGGAGCUGCUCAGGGAGCACUGCUGCCAACUUUUCUUAGCCCAAAAGCCUGGUCAGCCUGACAGCAGGGUUGUUAAGGCCAGGGGGGAAAUGGGAUAAAUACCAGAGAUGGAGAUGGAUUUCCCCUCCCCACCAGUAAAAAUGAGAAGUACAAAUCAACAGGCAGACCAGAAGGGAAAUACAAUUAAACCUGCUAAAUGUGAAGUAAAGUACUGCUGCCCUGAGUCUGAUACACUCUGUGAAAGGUAUGAAUUGCCUCAUCCAUCUCUAUGUGCCUCAUGCCACCAGCCUUCCUCUCGGUGCCCGAGAGGGGAGUUCGACCUCCCUGUCUGCUGAGAGCGUGGCGUGCUCAUAUGUCAUGCGCCAGUGGAAGUGCUCAGCUAAUGCAGAGACCGGGGAGGGCACAGAGUGUCUGCGCUGCCACCUUGAACAUGGACCUCGCGGCAGCUGAGAGAUAACCCCCCAAACAACAGGGUGGGUUUAGCGUGCGCCCAAGCAGCUCAAGUCUUCCGCCCUCUGGGAAUCAUUAACCCAUGUAUCUGCUAUCACUGGCUUUGCUGUUUAGCUGAUUACUGUGCGUGCUGGCUCUCUGUGCCUUGUUCUGGGAGCAGCCUGAACAUGCUAAGACACACACACAAGCCCCAGGAACAUUCACAACAAAGUUAUCUUGGUUGCUCCAAAAAAACCUGUUUCUAAUUAUAUGCUGGCAUCAAAGUCUCCCUGUGACUUCUAGAAGCCUGGCUGUUUGGAGAUAAGCAGUGAAAGUCCAUGUUGGAGCCCCAUGCCCCCUACCCAGCUAUGUCACACCCAGGAAUUGCUGCCAGCGAAGGACAGCAGGAGAAAGUCGGCAGAAGGAAAGUUGAAAAGACAUUUGAACUUAGGGAAGGACAGUGAGAGAUACCUUCUCUUCACAGCUCUGCCAGCGACCCUCCAUGCAACCUUGGCCAGAUCCCUUAGCUUUUCUGCACCUCUGUUCACACAGCUGUAAAGUGGGGAUAAUAAUCCAUCUAGCACUUCCUUCUGGCCAUUCCAAAGAACUUUGCAAUAGUGGCUGGGAUUGAGCCCAGAUCCUUCUGCUCCAGAAGCACAGGCCCCAACCACUGGAGCUAAUGGAGAAACUUCAUUAGCUGAUGGCAGUAUAGGGCCUCUGACACACAUUUGAACAGUUCUGAUUCCAUUCAAUGAAGGGCAGUGGUGGCACAUACACACUACCCUUCUCUUACCAACUUCACAGGCCAUCACAAAGAUUGACUCGUUAGCGGAAUAAAGUGCCAGGAGGCCUUCAAGUCAGAGGAGUUGCAGAAGGGGACAAUAUGGUUAUCUGGUUGUUGUUAAGUGGUCAGAAGGGUUGUUAGAGUCUAUUUAACUAGCUUCCCUUCCAUAGUCUCUAGCCCCCCCUACAGUUCAUCCGAUCUGUAUUUGGAGCAGUGGUCAGGCCUGAGAGAGACUUUUGCUUUUAUAGCUUACUGAGUGACACCAAGACAAAGUUCUUGGCUGGCUGGUGUGUGUCACCUGGAAGGGGAGUAGAAACAGUGAGAGCUGAGAUGCGAUUUGUUUUUGGAAUCCUAGGCUGCAUGCCUUAGGAGCCGGCUCUGGCCCAGAACACAGGGGAGCGAGACGACAGGAAACCAAGCCCCAAGGAACCAGUGGACUCCUUUCUGGUGGACUUGCUGCCAUGCAAUAGUCUGCUCUCAGGGGUGCUGCUGCCCCUGCUCAAGAGACGGGUCACCUAGGAUUACUGUAGCAGCUCUGCAAUGACCCUCUUUAGAGCCCUGACAUUGACCUAGAUAUAGGGCAAUAAGCCCUCUGGUCUGGUGGUGCUUUGCAGUUAGACUGGACAGGCUUCUCACUGCUUGCAGGCCUUCUCUGUGUGCACAUUUGACGGCAUGACAACAUUUUGGGACAAUCUCGUGCUGAUGAUCGAUGGGGCAAAAUGUGUCCAGAGCAGAGCUGGAGGGCGGCAGGGGAGAAUCAGAUCCAUUCAUUAGUCAGAGCUCCCAGUCU